rnacentral:rRNA from 1 species
ACGCGUCGAACCUUACCAGCUCUUGACAUUCGGGGUUUGGGCAGUGGAGACAUUGUCCUUCAGUUAGGCUGGCCCCAGAACAGGUGCUGCAUGGCUGUCGUCAGCUCGUGUCGUGAGAUGUUGGGUUAAGUCCCCGCAACGAGCGCAACCCUCGCCCCUUAGUUGCCAGCAUUUAGUUGGGCACUCUAAGGGGACUGCCGGUGAUAAGCCGAGAGGAAGGUGGGGAUGACGUCAAGUCCUCAUGGCCCUU